UGGGCAAUCUGCCCUGCACUUCGGGAUAAGCCUGGGAAACUGGGUCUAAUACCGGGUAUGACCUUUAGGCGCAUGUCUUUACGUGGAAAGCUUUUGCGGUGUGGGGAUGGGCCCGCGGCCUAUCAGCUUGUUGGUGGGGUGAUGGCCUACCAAGGCGACAACGGGUAGCCGGCAUGAGAGGGUGUCCGGCCACACUGGGAUUGAGAUACGGCCCAGACUCUUACGGGAGGCAGCAGUGGGGAAUAUUGCACAAUGGGCGCAAGCCUGAUGCAGCGACGCCGCGUGGGGGAUGACGGCCUUCGGGUUGUAAACCUCUUUCACCAUCGACGAAGGUCCGGGUUUUCUCGGAUUGACGGUAGGUGGAGAAGAAGCACCGGCAAACUACGUGCCAGCAGCCGCGGUAAUACGUAGGGUGCGAGCGUUGUCCGGAAUUACUGGGCGUAAAGAGCUCGUAGGUGGUUUGUCGCGUUGUUCGUGAAAUCUCACGGCUUAACUGUGAGCGUGCGGGCGAUACGGGCAGACUAGAGUACUGCAGGGGAGACUGGAAUUCCUGGUGUAGCGGUGGAAUGCGCAGAUAUCAGGAGGAACACCGGUGGCGAAGGCGGGUCUCUGGGCAGUAACUGACGCUGAGGAGCGAAAGCGUGGGGAGCGAACAGGAUUAGAUACCCUGGUAGUCCACGCCGUAAACGGUGGGUACUAGGUGUGGGUUU
rnacentral:rRNA from 1 species